GUCGGGGUAGUUCAAAAAGAAUAGUGAGUUGUGGCCUUGCAGGUGGGGUUCUUUCCCUUCCCGACU
rnacentral:tRNA from 1 species